GUGGCAAAGAGACUGAGUCGGUGCCGCCGCCUGCCUGAGGAGAGAGGAGGGGUCCCGCUCGCCCUGCGCCCUUCGCGGGCCGAAAGCACUAGGCACUCGCGAACAUCUGAGGCCUCCCGGCCCCGGGGGACCCCGCCCCGCCGUCCGCCGGCCGGCCCGCGGCCUCUCUUCCCUUUGUGAGCGCCUCCUUACCAGGGGUGGUGUUGGUGGCGGAGGGCUGCGCGUGGGCCCGCCCGCCGAGGGGCCGCGGCGGGGGACCGAGAGGGCCUCGGCUGUGUGAGGACUAGAGGCGGCCGAGGCCCGGGCCGGUUCCCCCGAGGCGGCGACGGAGACGGCUCCCGGCACUUCCCCGCGCCAUCUUAACUGAGCCCAAGCGCUGAGGGCGCCUCCUCGACCCCGGUCGUCCCCUCGCCCCCCCCCCCACCCCCCGCCGCCGCCGCCCCUUGUUGCAGAGCUUGGGCUGGGCGGCUUGCUGGGGCUCGGGGGUGGGGGGCGGCGAUCUGUCGCCGGGCCCCCUCCUCCUCCUCACUCCUCACCCUCCAGGGUAGCGGCUACCGGAGCGCUGCAGGGGGCUGCGCCUGCCUGCUCCGCCCCAGACCUGUCGGCGAAAGGAUGGGGUUUUGCCAUGUUGCCCAGGCUGGUCUUGAACUCCUCAGCUCCAGCUAUCUACCUGCCUUGGCCUCCCAAAGUGCUGAGAUUACAGACAUGAGCCACUGCACCCGGCCCGAUUUCCGUACUUACUAUUAAUGGCUGGAGUGCAAUGGCAUGAUCUCGCUCACUGCAACCCCUGCCUCCCAGGUUCAAGCGAUUCUCCUGCCUCAGCCUCCCAACAGCUGGGAUUACAGUAGUUUAUGCCAACGUGACUUCAUUCAUACAGAUGAACCAAGGAUCGGGAUAGCAGUAUAAAAUUAGAAUCAAGACAGCUGACUGCUCAGCAGGAUGCCAUCAACUAACAGAGCAGGCAGCCUGAAGGACCCUGAAAUUGCAGAGCUCUUCUUCAAAGAAGAUCCAGAGAAGCUCUUCACAGAUCUCAGAGAAAUUGGCCAUGGAAGCUUUGGAGCAGUGUAUUUUGCACGAGAUGUGCGUACCAAUGAAGUGGUGGCCAUCAAGAAAAUGUCUUAUAGUGGAAAGCAGUCUACUGAGAAAUGGCAGGAUAUUAUUAAGGAAGUCAAGUUUCUACAAAGAAUAAAACAUCCCAACAGUAUAGAAUACAAAGGCUGUUAUUUACGUGAACACACAGCAUGGCUUGUAAUGGAAUAUUGUUUAGGAUCUGCUUCGGAUUUACUAGAAGUUCACAAAAAGCCAUUACAAGAAGUGGAAAUAGCAGCAAUUACACAUGGUGCUCUUCAGGGAUUAGCCUACUUACAUUCUCAUACUAUGAUUCAUAGAGAUAUCAAAGCAGGAAAUAUCCUUCUGACAGAACCAGGCCAGGUGAAACUUGCUGACUUUGGCUCUGCUUCCAUGGCAUCACCUGCCAAUUCCUUUGUGGGAACGCCGUAUUGGAUGGCCCCAGAAGUAAUUUUAGCCAUGGAUGAAGGACAAUAUGAUGGCAAAGUAGAUGUGUGGUCUCUUGGAAUAACAUGUAUUGAACUAGCGGAAAGGAAGCCUCCUUUAUUUAAUAUGAAUGCAAUGAGUGCCUUAUAUCACAUAGCCCAAAAUGAAUCCCCUACACUACAGUCUAAUGAAUGGUCUGAUUAUUUUCGCAACUUUGUAGAUUCUUGCCUCCAGAAAAUCCCUCAAGAUCGACCUACAUCAGAGGAACUUUUAAAGCACAUAUUUGUUCUUCGGGAGCGCCCUGAAACCGUGUUAAUAGAUCUCAUUCAGAGGACAAAGGAUGCAGUAAGAGAGCUGGACAAUCUGCAGUAUCGAAAGAUGAAGAAACUCCUUUUCCAGGAGGCACAUAAUGGACCAGCAGUAGAAGCAC
rnacentral:lncRNA from 1 species